UUCUCUUUCCUUCUCAUUCUUCUUCUUCUUCUUCUUCUUCUUCUUCUUCUUCUUCUCAGUCUUUCCUCUUCUCCUCUCUGUCGAAUUCUUUUCAAGGAUUUGAGGUGAGUUCAUAUGAAUGAUUCACAAGAGCUUAGUAUCAUGUUGAACUGAAGAAGAAGGUGAUGUUGUUGCUGCUGUCGAUUGAGUUCUGGAAAAGCAGAGUUUUGUUAGUCAUUAUUAACAACGAUCGAUUCAAAGAAUGAACCAGUGGAUUGAGAAUCUUGAGGUAGGCGAGGCUUGUCUUCAGAACAGUUUUUCAGUUAUCAGAAGAUAUGGUGCACGCGAAGAUACUCGUUUCCGUCAAAUUAUUGAUUGUAGAGUUGUUGCGAAUUAUUUUAGGUUUGUACAUUAUUUUUGUAAUCACAAACACACUAUUUAAUUUAUAUAGCUUGAGAGAUUUUUCAUUUAUAAUUGUUUGAGUGAUGGGUUUAGUUUCGGGUUAAGUUUUGUAUAAGAUUUUAUAUAUGGAAGUUAAUAUGAUUGAGAU